rnacentral:lncRNA from 1 species
AUUAAAGAGAAGAGACUGUUGUGCCUUGUGAGAGUUACGUUGUUAGUUUCUCCUCAGUCACACUAAUGACUAUCUCAUUUAGUGAAAGUUUUUGGAGAACAUGCACAUGCACAGGGUUGCCUAUUCUACAAAGAAAAACAAACACAGAGAAAUUAAAUUAUUGAAGAUCAUAUAUUGAUCGGUUAGGACUUGGAGUAUCCAAGUUUUUACUUCACCAAAAUAUCAUCAUGAAUACACCAACUUACUUUUCACUUUCAGUCGCACUGAGGAUUGGGCAUAAAACCAUAAAUUACAUCAAACUAAAAAAUAAUUUAUUUUCAACUUCACUCUUCUUCACUUCUUUUUCUAUUAAUAUAUGAAACAAGUACAAAAAUAUUAAAGACUGCACUUCAUCUCUCCUAUUCUAUUUGUUUAUCUUUCUUUCAAAUGUCUCAAAACUAUUUUUUGUUUACAUUCUUUAACAUCUGAUACUGUUAUUUUUCUUAUAUAUAUAUAUAUUUUUUAAUUUGUUAUUUUUCUUAUAUAUAUAUAUAUAUUUUAAUUGUCACGAUUUCUCAUUAUUUUUUUAAUAUUAAAAUUCAUGGAAUAUCAUUCUAAAAUAAAAAAAUAAAAAUUAAUAUUAAAUAAAAAGUAUCAAAAAAUGUUCUUAAUCUGUGAAAGCCAAAUAAGAAGAAAAAAUUUUGGAUGAAAGGAGUAUUAUCACAUGAAUUAAAAAAAAAUUAUGCCAUAAUAAGGUUAUUAUCAUAUUUACUUCAAGCAAUUACACAUGAGUGUGUGUAUGUAUGAAUGGAAACUAGCAUGUUAUGAUUUGUACAAAAAACAAUUAUUAGUUGUACCUCAUUAAGCAUUUAUCUCAAUGAUAAAUGUAUGUAACUUUUAAUCAAAGAGUUACAUUUGGAUCCCUUUCUUUCAAAUGGAAAAAUAAAAAAUUUAUUGAAACUGUAGUACGAGUAUAGCUACUUAGAUUUAUUUUAAAGUAAUUGGAUGUAUAUAUGGAAUAAAUUUAUGCAGGCAAUGAAACGAAAAAUGUUGUUCGUCUGAUCGCAAAUUGUUUCUGCUCUAUGGGGCAUAAAAAGAAAUAGUCUUAAGAGUCGUUUCCAUAUAUAAAGUAAACCAUGCUGGCUCCAUUGAUUCUAGGCUUGGAUUACUAUUUUUGUCACAAUUAAAUUAAGACUUGUUCCGCUGAGCACCGUUGGCAUUUGGUAUUGUCACAACCCAAAUCCGAGAUUAUAAAGUAUCAAUGGGAGUGACCCUCUUAAUCCAUGCAAGCCUAAUGAUGAACAAUAAACCAAUAAACAUAUGUGCCUCAUAGGAAUCAUCACCAUAGAAUCAUAUGUAAGCAGGUAUAAACAUGAUUAUAUCAUAUAUAAGAAAAUACCAUAUCCAUCUACACGUGAGCGUGCUCAUGAUGUGGAAGAAACAUACAUAAUAACCCAAGUGUAAGCCAUGCUCAUGGCAAUCAUCCAUAAUAUCAAUUAUUACAUAUUAUAAUCCGAGUCAAAAUCCAUUAGUCAAGUAUGAAAGACUAAACCAGACCAAACCAAACCUAGCGAAGUACAGCACAAGUAAAAGGGCUGACACCUACUAGAUGCCAUAACGAUCAUGCACCAACAUUGACUGUAAAAGUAGCUCAUUGCCAAAGGACAACAAGCCAAGCAAUCUACUAAUCUAAAAUCUAACGUGUGAGUUAUAAAUAACUUCAUGAGUAGAUACGGAGAAGGGGAACAAGCUAAUGGGGAAGAAUAUUUAACAAAAUACACUUUUAGAAAUAUGCAAAUAAACAUUUAUCAAAUGUUUUGUACAACCUGCCUUUCCAGGCAUAACCAUAAAUUAACACCUACCUUUCUAAGCAUAAUUAUAAAUCGAGUCUCGCUUUUCCAAGCGUCAUUAUAUGACAAUCCCACAUUAUGAAGCGUGUCAAAUAUCCAAAUGGUCUUUAAGUCUGUUGUCUUUCAAACAAAUCGAGGAACGUAUGUCCAUAUAACCUCCAAGACUGUUGUCAUUCAAACGAUGCAAGGAUAACAAAAUGUUUUAUAAAACAUAGUUUGUAAAAUAGUUCACAAGCAUUUAAAAUAACACUAAAUGUUUGGAAACCAAUUCAAGAAGUUUGAUUAAAAUUGAGUUAAACAAUCAGUUUAAGAGUGUUUGAAACAUAAAUCGAGAUUUUCAUGGAUUUGGUUUUAAAACAGAUUCAUUUUCCUCUUUAGAAAACCUUUUGAAAACGUUCAAGUUUCAAAAUAAGCCUGAUCUAUUGAUACAUGAGUCCCAUGUAUCGAUAGAUUUCAAGCAGAAUGCAAAUCCAUCGUUUUUGUGUUGAAUCUAUCAAUACAUGGAUGCAAUGUAUCAAUAUAUUUGAUACAAAAUGCACAUUUUUAGCUUAGAACUCAUCACUAGGACCUCAACCAAGACUAAUAUUCAUCCAUAGUCAAGUAAUCCAUAUUCAAACAUCAGAUAAACCUUAUCCAUGAUACAAAUUCAUCACAUUAGACAUCAAGUCAAACAAAUCGAGGAGCACUAGCUAAGAACAAAAUAAUCACCUAAUGUCGUCACACUAGAAAGGUCUAGUCACCGACCACAAAGGAAAAGGUAGAACUUUGUUAACUACCAAUACCCAACAAGUCUCAAGAAAUUACCUCUCUGGCUCAAGUUGUAAAUUAUUGUGCACAAUGGCUAGCAUUGCUGUCACUAACUAUAGGUCCUUAUCUUGAUAAGCUUCAAUAACCACAUUACAACUAUCCAAUGCUCAAAAUAUACAUACAAUCAAAAGGUGAAACCCAUCACCAACAUAUAAUAGAGAUUAAGACAUAACCAAAGCUGGAGUCAAUUAACCAUAUCAAUAAUCUCAAAAUAAAUGACCAUAAAUACCAUGGUCUCAUCAAGGUGCAAUCAUUUCUCACAUCACAUUCAAAACCAUCAAUCAUACAUCGAUCAUAGACAAAUGAGAUGUUUGAAAUGUCAAAGCUUUGAAAGGCUUGUUCCCAAUGCUCAAAACUAAUACAUAAUAGACUAUAUAUAUGCUUAGUCUAUAGUUUUUAUCAAAACAUACUUGUAAACCUUUGUUCAUAGCACAAAGUUAUUGAUGGUGGUCCCAAUUAUAUGUGCUAGAGGGGGUGAAUAGCACAAAUCGGCUCUUGACAAGAUGAGGAACUAAGUUUUAGAACAAAGAAAAUAAAAACAGAGUAGAUAAUGCGCAGGAAUUUAGAAUGGUUCGUUCCAAGACCUACAUCCACUACCUUGAUUAUCCAACCAAGGAUUUUUCAAACAAUUCCACUAAGAACCGGUGAAAUUCACAAGCUUUCACCAAGCUUUACAAUAGCUUUUACCAGGCUCAGCCAAAACAUUUCACAAUAUUUUUUCACGGGCUAAACUAAAAUCCAACACCUAACUUUUCGAGGAUAAGUUAGAACCUUAACACAUUCAAGCAAACCUAGCUUGAAACAACCACUUAGAGUAACUCCCUUACUCUAAGAAUGCAAGAAGAAAAGUAAAAGAAAGUACCUAUGAUCACAAGGUUGAUCUAAAUGGUACAAGGUUGAGUGUAGAAUACAAAUACAAAAGAUUGGAGUUUAAGUGCAAAAAUGUGUAGAGGAGAUUUUCUAGUUUUUCAGCUCUAUAUGACUCAAAUCUCUUCUAAAACUUCCAAAGAACUCAUUUCUAACCGUUGGAAGACCCUUUUAUGCUUGGAGAAACAGCUCUUAUGGCAGUUUGGUAGUUUAUGGUUGUUGAAAACAGUUGAGAGUUGGUUCUAGCUGUUAAUCUAUCUUCUAGUGCUCUGGUUCAAAUUGUAGACAGAGAGCUCUUAGUAGACUAACUUUCUUCUUGGUCGACUAAGUUGGUUUUGUCUUCUGGUCACAGAUUCUAGCAAAGAGCAUUUAGUCGACUAACUCAUUCUUAGUCUACUAAGUUGGUUUUGUCUUGAAGUCCAAAUUUUGGCAGAGAGCAUUUAGUUAACUAACUUACAUCUUGGUCGACUAAGUCGGUUUUGUUGCUCAAUAUUCUUUAGCUUGGCAUUUCUCGAAUUUGAAUCUUAGCCAACCAACAUUCUUUUUUAUUCAACUAAGGAGCUUCCUUCUCGCUAAUCGAUCAUGUCUCCUUAUUUUUAUCCUCAUUUUUCUUUUGAUAUACACUUUGAAAGAUUGAUUUAUUAAUUUCAUACAUUAUUUGUCCUACACACUCAAGUAGAAAAAUUAAACACAAAUGAAUGGGAAUAUUUUAUUAUCAUCAAAAACUAAUGAAGCCAACAAUCUCCCCCUUUUUGAUUAUGACAAAACAUUCCUUGAUUAACAACACAGUGUCCUUAUAUUCUUUUUAGUUUAUGCAACAAAUGAGGAUUGCUCCCCCUAAGUAUGUUCUCCCCCUUAGUGUGUGCAUAUUUUGCUUAUUUAUUUCAGCAAAUUUUAUUCAUGUCAUAUAAAAAAUGACACUGUACAUUCAGAGUAUAUAUAUAUAUGCAGAACUUUAAAGUGAUUUACAGCAGGUGAAUGUUGAUAGAUUAUCAUAAAAAAUUCAGCAGAGUUUGUCAACAACAUAUUUUCAUCAAAUUUUGUCUAUGCCAUUCAUGAUUCAAUUGAUACACUAUACACAGCAUCCAUAUUUAUUUUCAAGCACAAUUUAUUCACAAUGUCAUAACAAAAAUCAGUUAUCAGCAUACAAUCCCAGCAUCAGAUUUUUAUCAACAGUAGUCAAAAUAUCAUAGACAAGAAAAUAUCAGCAAAUAUUCAAUUUUCAGCAGUCAAAUACCAUAAACAUAUCAGCAUCCAUUUUUCACACAACCAUAUAAUCAACAAAAUUAAAUUCAAGUGUUCAAAAUGCCAUCAUGGCACAAAUAGCAAAUAACCAUAAAUUUAUCAGUUGAUGUUCCGAAACUGCCCUUAUAGAGUUUUUACUUCCUAUCUCCCUAAGUUUCCCAUAAUUUCUCCUUUAAAAUCCUACCAUUUCCUAUCUAUCCCCCUACUACUAUCUUCUAAUUCUCUCCCCCUUUUUGUCAUCAUCAACCUUUAAUCUUCUUCAUAUGAGGAGGUUGAGGAGGAGGAUUCUUUAGUGGCGUAUUUGAAAUCUAAAGGUUGAGGAGAUGAUUCUGGAGGUAAUUCUUGGGUAAAGGGAUCAGGUAAGGGUGUGUCAGACACUUCAAGCGGUUCCUAUGGAGAAGAAGCUGUUGCUGGCUUGGACUUUUUUGCCAAUUUGGAGGACUUCUCUCUUUUGAGGAAUGUUGUUUUUGUUGUCAUUGUUUUCUUCCCUUUGGCAAGUGGUUUUGUCUUUAUCUGUUGUGCUGUAGUGACUUUUUCUUUCCUUUUUUCAAAUUUUUCUUUCACUCUAGAGGCUAGUGCAGAUGUAUCUUGCUGAGCUUCUACCUUGGCAACUUCCUUUUCAACCUAUUCUUCCCUAACCAUUUGGUAGAAGAUAUCCAUAAUGGAUACUUCUUCUGAAUUUGGAGGGGAGGGUCUCAGGUUCUGAAAAAGCAUUUUCAUCUGGUGAACCUAGCACUUUUGUUCCUUGUUUUGAUUUAUCUUUGCUUUGGUGUUCAAGUGAGAGGGCCUUAGCUGGUUGAUCAACACUAGGGUGAGAGUCCUCUGUCUAAAGGACAGGGCGACAGUUUUGUAAGUGGAGCCUUCAGCUUGAACACUUUAACUUACUCCAUAUGAGCAAACACUUUUGCUUGCAAAGCUGAACCCUCAGCAAACACAUGUCUAUACGUUAAGCAAAAAUUCAGAUUUCACACCAAAAUUUUUCAUUUAAUUUCUAGCCUCAUCAAACAUCAAAUAUCACCAAAAUAUCAUAAAAUAUCAUCAAUUUCAGCCAUAAUAUCUGCCCUAGAAAAUUUGGCCAAUGAUGGGUAAUGGGAGAAAAUGAAUUUUUCUUGUUGGUUUGUUUCUAGAUAUGAUAAACUAACUAAAAACACUAACAUAACUUAGAAUCAAAUCAAUCCAACUUCAUUCUCUCUCCAUACCCAUUCCAACCAGCCAUGAAUUCACCAUGAAAACAUGAAAUCUAACCAUAGAAAAUGAAAAAGAAAGCAUGGGUAGUGUAAAUCACAAGUCAAAAUCAAGAAAUUUUACCUUUAUUAGCUUAAUCCCUUGAAAUCCCACACUUUUUCUUCAAUUUUCCCACCUAAGGUUCUUGUUUUUGUUCCUUUCCUCCUUUGUUCUUCUUUGGCCGGCCAUAUGAAUGAGAAAUUGGC